rnacentral:piRNA from 1 species
UGCGACUGGCCCGAGCAGAUCUGUGUUA